AACUGUCGAGAAGAGAAAUAUUCAGUGAUCGAUAAGCAAAAAUGAAUAUUAGUUAUAAAAGGUAAUAGGAAAAGGAUGGUAAAAUAUACUGUGCUGACUAAUAUUGGACACUAUCUUAGUUUGCAGAGUAAUGGUGAUUGGGGUAAUUUGAUAUCUGGCAACUUCUUAUUAUAACAUAUUCGUCUUUUGUAAGUGAAAUUCCUAAUGACAGCGGCAAGAUUAUGGUGAUUUUAUUUGUAAAAAUGUAUCAGUAUGAACAGACAAGCCAUCUUAACAUACUUAAGGGAAACCUGAAACUAACUGGAAUUAUCUAUCGCUGGUAUAGAGAAGGGCAAAAUAAAAAACCGAGAUUGUAAAAAUUUUUUUAGAUAAAUGAAAAUUUCCACUGUUAGCCC